UAUGGCUGAGCUCGGAGACUGUUCCAGGCAGAGCAGGUGGUGUCUGCCCUCAUACCGUCCCACAGCCGAGGGGAGCAGCAGCGUGAGGUCAGGCCACCAAAACCUCAAGGCAGUGUGGGACUGACUGGUCUUCCUGUGCUGGGAGGCCUCUCACGGGAGAGGCCUACAGCUGAGAUCCUGGGCCUCUGCCACGUCGAGCAUCUCCAUCAUCUGCUUGACAUCAAGGCACUUUUGUGACUUAGAGAUCAACUCAGAGACAGCGAAUUACAAGCUAAGCAGGCAAUGCGCUUCUGGCAUAAAAUAAAUUCCAGUGGAUGGGAAAUGUGGAUCAAACCCCGUA